UACAUGGGGUGCAAACGUUGCUCGGAAUUAUUGGGCGUAAAGCGCACGUAGGCGGUUUGUUAAGUCGGAUGUGAAAUCCCUCGGCUCAACUGAGGAAGUGCAUCCGAAACUGGCGGGCUUGAGUACUAAAGAGGGUCGCGGAAUUCCCGGUGUAGAGGUGAAAUUCGUAGAUAUCGGGAGGAACACCAGUGGCGAAGGCGGCGACCUGGGCCAAUAUUGACGCUGAGGUGCGAAAGCGUGGGGAGCAAACAGG
rnacentral:rRNA from 1 species